rnacentral:lncRNA from 1 species
GUAUAUAUACCCUUUGCCUUUUAAUCUUGACCAUCCAUCAAGAUUGAAUCUGGACCGUCCGAUCGCGAUUUAAUUGAGAUUAAAUCUGAGCCGUUCAUCGCGAUGCAAUCUGGACCGUCCGUGCCUAAUUGAAUCUGGACUGUCCGUGUGCGCGGGAACGGAUCUUGGCCGUCCGAUCGCGAGCACGCGGAUCGCCCACGUGGCCCGUUCCCUG